GGUGUUGUGGCUCAGCGGUAGAGCACGUGCCUGGCAUGCCCGGGGCCCUGGGUUUGACCCUCAGCACCACAU
rnacentral:tRNA from 1 species